rnacentral:rRNA from 1 species
UGCAGCCUACGGGAGGCAGCAGUGGGGAAUAUUGGACAAUGGGGGGAACCCUGAUCCAGCGACGUCGCGUGAGGGAAGACGGUCCUAUGGAUUGUAAACCUCUUUAGGCGGGGAGCAAUGCCGGGCACGCGUGCCCGGAGGGAGAGUACCCGCAGAAUAAGCAUCGGCUAACUCCGUGCCAGCAGCCGCGGUAAUACGGAGGAUGCGAGCGUUAUCCGGAUUUAUUGGGUUUAAAGGGUGCGUAGGCGGAUUUUUAAGUCAGCGGUAAAAUGUCCGGGCUCAACCCGGGCCGGCCGUUGAAACUG